rnacentral:rRNA from 1 species
GACGAACGCUGGCGGCGUGCUUAACACAUGCAAGUCGAACGGAAAGGCCCUGCUUUUGUGGGGUGCUCGAGUGGCGAACGGGUGAGUAACACGGGAGUAACCUGCCCUUGACUUUGGGAUAACUUCAGGAAACUGGGGCUAAUACCGGAUAGGAGCUCCUGCUGCAUGGUGGGGGUUGGAAAGUUUCGGCGGUUGGGGAUGGACUCGCGGCUUAUCAGCUUGUUGGUGGGGUAGUGGCCUACCAAGGCGUUGACGGGUAGCCGGCCUGAGAGGGUGACCGGCCACAUUGGGACUGAGAUACGGCCCAGACUCCUACGGGAGGCAGCAGUGGGGAAUAUUGCACAAUGGGCGGAAGCCUGAUGCAGCAACGCCGCGUGCGGGAUGACGGCCUUCGGGUUGUAAACCGCUUUCGCCUGUGACGAAGCGUGAGUGACGGUAAUGGGUAAAGAAGCACCGGCUAACUACGUG